CUUACACAUGCAAGUCGAACGGACGACGAGGGAGCUUGCUCCCUUGAAGUUAGUGGCGAACGGGUGAGUAACGCGUAAUCAACCUGCCCUUCAGAGGGGGAUAACACGGGAAACCGUUGCUAAUACCGCGUACGAUUCAUGAACGGCAUCGUUUAUGAAUGAAAGGUGGCCUCUAUAUAUAAGCUAUCGCUGAAGGAGGGGAUUGCGUCUGAUUAGCUAGUUGGAGGGGUAACGGCCCACCAAGGCAAUGAUCAGUAGCCGGUCUGAGAGGAUGAACGGCCACAUUGGGACUGAGACACGGCCCAAACUCCUACGGGAGGCAGCAGUGGGGAAUCUUCCGCAAUGGACGAAAGUCUGACGGAGCAACGCCGCGUGAGUGAUGAAGGUCUUCGGAUUGUAAAGCUCUGUUAAUCGGGACGAAAGAGUUCUGUGUGAAUAAUGCAGAAAAGUGACGGUACCGGAAUAGAAAGCCACGGCUAACUACGUGCCAGCAGCCGCGGUAAUACGUAGGUGGCAAGCGUUGUCCGGAAUUAUUGGGCGUAAAGCGCGCGCAGGCGGCCUAUCCAGUCUGUCUUAAAAGUUCGGGGCUCAACCCCGUGAUGGGAUGGAAACUAGUAGGCUAGAGUAUCGGAGAGGAAAGCGGAAUUCCUAGUGUAGCGGUGAAAUGCGUAGAUAUUAGGAAGAACACCAGUGGCGAAGGCGGCUUUCUGGACGAAAACUGACGCUGAGGCGCGAAAGCCAGGGGAGCGAACGGGAUUAGAUACCCCGGUAGUCCU
rnacentral:rRNA from 1 species